rnacentral:lncRNA from 1 species
AUUGUCAAAUGAAUAAAUUUUAAGACGCUGAAGAUAGCGACUUUGAACACAAUUACCUACAGAAUCCAUUUCCUCAAUUAUAUUUAUCCAAGGUCAUAAGCUCCAAAGACUAAAGUUAACAUACUGAAUUCAAGAAAAUCUUAGCUUAAUGUAAAUAAAACUAUAUCAAAUAAAUAUGAAAACCUUAUGAUGGAAUUAAAACAAAACUAUACUACUGCUAGGGAAUUAGGCUGUACUAGAUCAACCUGAAAGGACUCAAAUAUAUCUAAAAGGACUAAUACCUUGAAUACUCACAUGCUGACACAAA